UACGAAGGCUGCAAGCGUUAUCCGGAUUCACUGGGUUUAAAGGGUGUGCAGGUGGGGAAAUAAGUCAGUGGUGAAAGCCCCCGACUCAAUCGGGGAACUGCCAUAGAUACUGUUAUUCUUGAGUGUAGUUGAGGCGGAUGGAAUAUGACAUGUAGCGGUGAAAUGCUUAGAUAUGUCAUAGAACACCGAUGGCGAAGGCAGUCCGCUAAACUAUUACUGACACUGAAACACGAAAGUGCGGGGAGCAAACAGG
rnacentral:rRNA from 1 species